ACAGCAUUUAUCCUAUUUCAAUGGAAAUAAUGGGCCGAUGAACAAGAACAAGAGAAAGUAUUGCUAAGAUUAGCGGAAGGGAAGGGAAACCUACAGAGGAGACCAGAACUGAGGAGCAGGUAGAAGACUGUGGAAGUGUCUGUGGAAGAUUAAAGAGUUAAAUAUGUCUCAACUGCUGGGCCUGGUGGUGUAAGACUGCUACUCAGGAGGCAGGGGCAAGAGGAUCCAUCAAAAGUUCAAGGUGAACUGUCUGAGCUUCAUAAGUCAUAUAUUUUUCUGCAUUUGAUGAAGUCAGAGAGGCCUGGAUUCACAAUGACAAUUCCCUAAGUACCAGACAUUUGUGUACAAGACUUUUAGUCUUGAUCCAAUCAGGUGCAGUUUCAAUCAAUGGAGUUGUGAGGUGCUGCAUCUUGAAGCCAGGGCCUCAUACAUAAUAGGCAAGUGCUUUACCAAAGAACUACAACCCUCAGUUGCAG